AUUGAACGCUGGCGGCAUGCCUUACACAUGCAAGUCGAACGGCAGCACGGUAGCAAUCCUGGUUGCGAGUGGCGAACGGGUGAGUGAUACAUCUGAACAUGCCCAUCUGUGGUUUAUAACCCGUCGAAAGCCGGACGAAUACCGCAUACUACCUACUGGUGAAAGCGGGGGGUCGCAAGACCUCUCGCGAUCGUAGCGUUCGAUGCCAGAGUAGCUAGUUGGUGGGGUAAAGGCCUACCAACGCGACGAUCUGUAGCUGGUCUGAGAGGACGACCAGCCACACUGGGAGUGAGACACGGCCCAGACCCCUACGGGAGGCAGCAGUGGGGACUUUUGGCAGAUGGGCGCAAGCCUGCACCAGCCAUGCCGCGUGCGGGCAGAAGGCCUUCGGGUUGUAAACCGCUUUUGUCAGGGAAGAACCGCUCCGGGUUAAUACAACGGAGUAAUGCCGGAACCUGAAGAAUAAGCACCGGCUAACUCCGG
rnacentral:rRNA from 1 species